GAUUAUGGCUCAGGAUGAACGCUGGCGGCGUGCCUAACACAUGCAAGUCGAACGGAGUGUUUCCACCCGACAGAUCAUCUUCGGAUGAGAAGUCAUCGGAAACACUUAGUGGCGGACGGGUGAGUAACGCGUGGGCAACCUGCCCUGCACUGGGGGAUAGCGGUUGGAAACGACCGGUAAUACCGCAUACCUUACAUUUGCCGCAUGACAGAUGUAAGAAAAUGAUUUAGUGGUGCAGGAUGGGCCCGCGUCCGAUUAGUUAGUUGGUGGGGUAACGGCCUACCAAGACGACGAUCGGUAGCCGACCUGAGAGGGCGGACGGCCACAUUGGGACUGAGACACGGCCCAGACUCCUACGGGAGGCAGCAGUGGGGAAUAUUGCACAAUGGGGGAAACCCUGAUGCAGCGAACCGCCGCGUGAGCGAAGAAGUAUUUCGGUAUGUAAAGCUCUAUCAGCAGGGAAGAUAAUGACGGUACCUGACUAAGAAGCCCCGGCUAAAUACGUGCCAGCAGCUGC
rnacentral:rRNA from 1 species